rnacentral:rRNA from 1 species
GAUGAACGCUGGCGGCGUGCCUAAUACAUGCAAGUCGAGCGAACGGACGAGAAGCUUGCUUUUCUGAUGUUAGCGGCGGACGGGUGAGUAACACGUGGAUAACCUACCUAUAAGACUGGGAUAACUUCGGGAAACCGGAGCUAAUACCGGAUAAUAUUUUGAACCGCAUGGUUCAAAAGUGAAAGACGGUCUUGCUGUCACUUAUAGAUGGAUCCUGGCUGCAUUAGCUAGUUGGUAAGGUAACGGCUUACCAAGGCAACGAUGCAUAGCCGACCUGAGAGGAUGAUCAGCCACACUGGAACUGAGACACGGUCCAGACUCCUACGGGAGGCAGCAGUAGGGAAUCUUCCGCAAUGGGCGAAAGCCUGACGGAGCAACGCCGCGUGAGUGAUGAAGGUCUUCGGAUCGUAAAACUCUGUUAGUAGGGAAGAACAUAUGUGUAAGUAAAUGUGCACAUCUUGACGGUACCAAAUCAGAAAGCAACGGCUAACUACGUG